UGCGUAGGCGGAUUAAUAAGUCAGUGGUGAAAACCUGCAGCUUAACUGUAGACUUGCCAUUGAUACUGUUAGUCUUGAGUACGGUCAAGGUAGGCGGAAUGUGUAACGUAGCGGUGAAAUGCUUAGAUAUUACACAGAACACCGAUUGCGAAGGCAGCUUACUGGGCCAUUACUGACGCUGAGGCACGAAAGCGUGGGGAGCGAACAGGAUUAGAUACCCUGGUAGUCC
rnacentral:rRNA from 1 species